rnacentral:rRNA from 1 species
AUGGUUGUCGUCAGCUCGUGUCGUGAGAUGUUGGGUUAAGUCCCGCAACGAGCGCAACCCUUACCUUCAGUAGCCAGCACAUAAUGGUGGGCACUCUGGAGGGACUGCCGGGGACAACCCGGAGGAAGGUGGGGACGACGUCAAAUCAUCAUGCCCCUUAUGGCCUGGGCUACACACGUGCUACAAUGGCGUAAACAGAGGGAGGCAGCCCCGCGAGGGUGAGCAAACCCCAAAAAUAACGUCCCAGUUCGGAUUGCAGUCUGCAACUCGACUGCAUGAAGCUGGAAUCGCUAGUAAUCGCGGAUCAGAAUGCCGCGGUGAAUACGUUCCCGGGUCUUGUACACACCGCCCGUCACACCAUGGGAGUUGGUAACGCCCGAAGUCAGUGACCUAACCGAAAGGGAGGAGCUGCCGAAGGUGGGACCAGUGACUGGGGUGAAGUCGUAACAAGGUAGCCGUAUCGGAAGGUGCGGUUGGAUCACCUC